rnacentral:tRNA from 1 species
GGGCUGGGGCUCAGUGGUAGAGCACUUGCCUACCAUGUGCAAGGCGCUGAGUUUGAUCCUCAGUACCACA